rnacentral:rRNA from 1 species
AACGAACGCUGGCGGCAUGCCUAACACAUGCAAGUCGAACGAGACCUUCGGGUCUAGUGGCGCACGGGUGCGUAACGCGUGGGAACCUGCCCUUAGGUUCGGAAUAACUCCCCGAAAGGGGUGCUAAUACCGGAUAAUGUCUUCGGACCAAAGAGUUAUCGCCUUUGGCUGGGCCCGCGUUGGAUUAGCUAGUUGGUAGGGUAAAAGCCUACCAAGGCGACGAUCCAUAGCUGGUCUGAGAGGAUGAUCAGCCACACUGGGACUGAGACACGGCCCAGACUCCUACGGGAGGCAGCAGUGGGGAAUAUUGGACAAUGGGAGAAAGCCUGAUCAAGCAAUGCCGCGUGAGUGAUGAAGGCCUUAGGGUUGUAAAGCUCUUUUACACGGGAUGAUAAUGACAGUACCGGGAGAAUAAGCUCCGGCUAACUCCGUG